AACGGGCUAGCAUUUAAGCUAGCACCAGCCAGGCAGUGGAGAAAAAAAAGAGUUAGAAUACAUCCAAGGAUAUUAAUGUAAGGUGGCAUGGCAGUUGAACAGUGGAGACCAAGCCUAAUCCUGAGCAUCGCGGCUCUUGACUCUCAGCUUGUUGACCUGGGACUCGGCGAUGUCAGCACGCUCCUGAGCCUCUUCCAGCUCAUGCUGGACCUUCCUGAGUCUGGACAUGUGAGUGUUGGCCUGUUCCUCCUGUGGAAGGUAUGGAGUUAAAGUAGAAUAUUAAAGUACUCUACGAUAAGCAAUAUUGAAGAUAAAACGACUUACGGCCUCCUCAGACUGUCUCUUGUACCCCUUGACUUUAAGCUGAAGUUUGUCCACCAGAUCCUGAAGUCUGUUCACGUUCUUCUUGUC